GAGUAACACGUAAGUAACCUACCCCAGAGACAGGGAUAACCCUAGGAAACGAGGGCUAAUACCAGAUGAACUCCGCGAGGAGUAAAGGCUCCGGCGCUCUGGGAGGGGCUUGCGGCCCAUCAGCUAGUUGGUAGGGUAAAGGCCUACCAAGGCGAAGACGGGUAGGGGGUGUGAGAGCACGACCCCCCACAAUGGGACUGAAACACGGCCCAUACUCCUACGGGAGGCAGCAGCAGGGAAUAUUGCACAAUGGGCGAAAGCCUGAUGCAGCGACGCCGCGUGAGUGAAGAAGGCCUUCGGGUCGUAAAGCUCUUUUGUAGGGGAAGAGGAAGGACGGUACCCUGAGAAAAAGCGUCGGCUAACUACGUGCCAGCAGCCGCGGUAAGACGUAGGACGCGAGCGUUAUCCGGAAUUACUGGGCGUAAAGGGCCAGCAGGCGGCUAGGUAAGUUGUGCGUGAAAGCCUCGUGCUCAACGCGAGGAAGCCGGACAAUACUGUCUAGCUGGAGGGCAUCAGAGGGGAGUGGAAUUCCCGGAGUAGCGGUAAAAUGCGCAGAUAUCGGGAGGAACACCGAUGGCGAAGGCAACUCCCUGGGGUGUACCUGACGCUAAGUGGCGAAAGCUAGGGGAGCGAACAGGAUUAGAGACCCUGGUAGUCCUAGCUGUAAACGCUGGGUGCUAGGUGUGGGGCGUAGAAGCUCUGUGCCGGAGCGAACGCGAUAAGCACCCCGCCUGGGAACUACGGUCGCAAGGCUAAAACUCAAACGAAUUGACGGGGCCCCGCACAAGCAGCGGAGCGUGUGGUUCAAUUCGAUGCUACACGAAGAACCUUACCUGGGUUUGACAUGUACGUGGUAGAGAAGCGAAAGCGGAUUGACCCUUCGGGGAGCGUACACAGGUGCUGCAUGGCUGUCGUCAGCUCGUGCCGUGAGGUGUCGGGUUAAGUCCCGUAACGAGCGCAACCCUUGCCCUUAGUUACAAGUGUCUAGGGGGACUGCCGGCGGGAAGCCGGAGGAGGGUGGGGACGACGUCAAGUCAGCAUGGCCCUUAUGUCCAGGGCU
rnacentral:rRNA from 1 species